rnacentral:rRNA from 1 species
AAUUUGAUCUUGGUUCAGGAUGAACGCCAGCGACAGGCCUAACACAUGCAAGUCGAGGGGCAGCAUUGGAGUAGUAAUACUUCAGAUGGCGACCGGCGCACGGGUGAGUAACACGUAUCCAACCUGCCGCUUACUCGGGGAUAGCCUUUCGAAAGAAAGAUUAAUACCCGAUGGUAUAAAGAGUUCGCAUGUUCUCUUUAUUAAAGAAUUUCGGUAAGCGAUGGGGAUGCGUUCCAUUAGAUAGUUGGCGGGGUAACGGCCCACCAAGUCUACGAUGGAUAGGGGUUCUGAGAGGAAGGUCCCCCACAUUGGAACUGAGACACGGUCCAAACUCCUACGGGAGGCAGCAGUGAGGAAUAUUGGUCAAUGGACGAGAGUCUGAACCAGCCAAGUAGCGUGAAGGAUGACUGCCCUAUGGGUUGUAAACUUCUUUUAUAAGGGAAUAAAGUGAGGGACGUGUCCCUUUUUGUAUGUACCUUAUGGAUAAGGAUCGGCUAACUCCGUGCCAGCAGCCGC